GACAGAGGGUGCAAACGUUGUUCGGAAUUACUGGGCGUAAAGCGCGUGUAGGCGGCUUCGCAAGUCGGGUGUGAAAUCCCACGGCUCAACCGUGGAAGUGCAUUCGAGACUGCAAGGCUAGAGUCCUGGAGAGGAAGGUGGAAUGCUUGGUGUAGAGGUGAAAUUCGUAGAUAUCAAGCGGAACACCGGUGGCGAAGGCGACCUUCUGGACAGUGACUGACGCUGAGACGCGAAAGCGUGGGGAGCAAACAGG
rnacentral:rRNA from 1 species